rnacentral:lncRNA from 1 species
GGCACUUGGUUCCUUUGUAUGGCGACAGCGCUAAUCGUUGGUCCUACAGUCUCAGUUGAAGCCUCUGAAUGUUGCAUCCAAGGUCAUCCAGCAAAACACUACUUCAGCGCCAAAGCCAGGAGGCGUCUUCAGCGUUAAAGCCAGGAGGCCUCUUCAGCGUCAAAGCCAGGAGGCCUCUUCAGUUGGAUUUCAUUAGAGGUCACAGCUUAGACCUUGUAUAACCCGCAACCAUUUAACCUUUGUUUUCAGAGUUAUAAUGAAAAUCCCCACGCUGUUAAAUUGGCCAAUGCCUGGCUGCAUACCAGAUGCAGUGUGGUCUGGGCUCAGUCAUGCUAAUAAUGCCAAUUAGUGUGUUAAUCAUGGAUUUAUUUAAGUGCAGACAUUCUUUGACCCUGGAUCAUUUGUCAGACCACGAACCUUUGUAAGUGGGAGACCGUCUUAGACGAACGUCAACCUGCGUCACAAAUGGCACCCUAUUCCCUACGUACGGAACUACGGGCCCUGGUUGAAAGUAGUGCACUAUAUACAGUGCCUUUAGGAAAGUAUUCCAAGGCCUUGAAUUUUUCUGUAUUUCGUUGUGUUACAGGCUGAAUAUGAAAUGGAUUUAAAUAAAAAAGAAUUGUCACUGGCCUACCC